UUGUUUCUGUCAUUUACUGCUCA
rnacentral:piRNA from 1 species